UGCGCCCCCUGCUGGACCUGGGCACCCAGCAGGAGGUUUGUGUCUGGGAUCAUACUGAGGUCCCCUCACUGUGUCUCUGGUACAGUAAUAUGCUGAGGGCCAUUGCUAAGUAAGAAUGACACAUGGCAUGACCCAGUUCAUUUGCAGUGAUAUUGCAUGUAAGGUGACCUUGCUCAAGGACCAGGGCGGAUCCGGGUUUAGGGCCGAUUGGGGUUUAGGACAAUCCGGGUUUAGGGUGGUUCCAGGUUUAAGAUGUACCCUGCUGGGAAUAGGGCGUAUCCUGCUGCCUCAAGUGCGCCUGCUCCUUGAGUUACCAUUGAGUUCUCACAGGAUUGAGAGAGUAUUUGGGAUUUUGCCCAGAAUGUGAAUUUUGCCGAGAACGUGUGUGUAAAGUGCCAGUGACAGUUCGAGAAUAAAGAAUUGCUGUUUGAAUCUACAAGGCUGUGAGUGGCUCGUGAUUUUGUGCCCAACCAGUCUGCGGCAUUUGGCGGGCCAUACGGGGAACAUCUGAAGAGAAGGGAGAACAGCAGCCGAUUUGGAUUCCAGAGAGAUUAACCAAAGCAAUUUCUACAGACCAAAAAGAAGAUGAUUUGACUCAAAUCCAUAACAGCUGAUAUCCAGAGCUCCAACUUGGCUAUUCUUACAUCUGCGACAGUGAUUAACCAGGGUGCUUUUUUUCAAUAUCCAUUUUAUUAUUGCUUUUUCCCACAUCAUAAAGUUCUAUUUUAUUUUUUGAGCUCAUACAAACCUAGGUUAAUGUUUUUCUGAUCAGUUUUAUUUUUUGACUCUGGAAUUUUUAAACAUUGCAAUGGAGAUUUCACCUAGGUAAAGCUACAAGGCCUUUACUAUUGUCUUAUGUGUUGUACAUUUGUGUGCACAUUUGUGUUUUGUGUUGUAUGUCUGUGUGUGCGUAUGUCCAUAGAUCAUAUAUGAGGAGCACUCAUGAAAAAAUGGAUCCAAAUUAUUAUUUUUUUUUAUUCACAUGAUUUAAAUGGUUUAAUUUAAAUUAGGUAAACAGCUGUUAAGGAUUGUUUUUAAAGGUGGUUAACAGAUCUGUUUGUUUACUAAUUUAAAUUAGGUAAAUAACUGUUAAGGAUUAUUUUUAAAGGAGGUUAACAGAUCUGUUUGUUUACUUUCACCUUUCCUUUUCAUCAUAUUUAAUAAUUCUGUUCAGGAUAAUGUCUCUUUAGCAUCAUUGCCAGAAUUCCUAUCUCCAUCCCUGUGCCGGUGAAGACAAAGAUAAAACCAGACUACAGCUUCUAUGAUAGCUAUCACAGUAAACUGUAUAAACUGAUGCAUCAAUGAAAAUAACUUAACAAGUAAUGCUCAAUCAAGGACUCGAUUUACUUUGGGAGGAAAUGGACAUAUUGAUAGACUCCUCCGGUUUGAACUGCUUGCAGAACUUGCCUGGACUAUGUAUCACUUGUAUACAUUGUGAACAAUCGUUUGGUGCAGCGAAUUGUGGUAGUGCUGGCAUAUCUUUGCUGAUGGUGUCACCAGUGAUGCAAUUUUUCCAAAGGAGCCGUCAAUUGGCUUGGUGUCAUGGCAUUUCUGUAUCCUCCUCCCUUCUGCUAAUGAUGGUCUAAAUUUGGGGGCCAACAGAGUUGAGGCAAAGAACCUCACACCCCCCACACUGGCACCAAGGCCAAAAUUGGGGGACAACAGAGGUGAGGCAAGAUCCUCACCCCCCACACACACACUGGUGCAUAGGCCUAUCCACAAAUAUGGCUGCAUGCUGGACCAGUAAUCAGUGAUGGGUAUGAUCCAAUUGCAGUGGUAUCAACCUAAGACAGGAGGCUGAUGCCUAGAGGUCAGUUUUUCCCAUGAUGGGUAAGAACCAUAUGUUAAAUUGGACAACCUACCAGGCAUGGUCCUUAAGCCACAUUGCUUGUUGUUUAAUUAAUCAGAAGGGGGGAGAUGCUGAGGGCCAUUGCUAAGUAAGAAUGACGCAUGGCAUGACCCAGGUCAUUUGCAGUGACAUUGCAUGUAAGGUGACCUUGCUCAAGGACCAGGGCGGAUCCGGGUUUAGGGUGGAUUGGGGUUUAGGGCAUUCCUGGUUUAGAACAAUCCAGGUUUAGGGCAGUUCCAGGUUUAAGGUGUACCCUGCUGGGAAUAGGGCGUAUCCUGCUGCCUCAGGUGCACCUGCUCCUUCAGUUCCCUUUGAGUUCUCAAGGGAUUGAGAGAGUAUUUGGGAUUUUGCCCAGAAUGUGAAUUUUGCCGAGAAUGUGUGUGUAAAGUGCCAGUGACAGUUUGAGAAUAAAGAAUUGCUGUUUGAAUCUACAA